rnacentral:piRNA from 1 species
UAAGAAAACUGGUAUGUGGUUGCCUGGGC